CCUCAUUUACAUGUAAACCCUUAUCAUGAAGAACCCCAUCCUCAUUUACAUGUAAACCCUUGUCAUGAAGAACUCAUCCUAAUUUACAUUCAGAAGUGAUCAGGUAGAUCAGAUCCAGAAUUUAGCAUUUUUUUCUCCAGACAUUCUGUCUGUGUUUUUGUUUGUUUGUUCGUUUCUGCUCGGCAACUACACAUGAUACCGGUCAUUUUCUGGCUGGUAAUGUAAACACUGACACACACAAACACAAACUUUUUGAUGUAAUUAACAGGUCUUAAAUUGAAAAAAAAAGUUGUUAGUGUAAUCUGCUUUGAUAUUCACCAUUUCUCAUUUUACUCUGUGACACAGGGAGAAAUGGCGUGGCUAUUUAAAAAAAAGAUUACUCUGCCUUCUCCAUUGAUGGAAAAAGAUUGGAGAGAAAUCAAAUGGGGAGACAAAGAGAAAGAACUUAAAGCACUGAAAAGCAAAGUGCAGGAACUUCAACUCGGCAGUCCAGAUGUCCAACAUCUGCGGAUCCUCAUGUACGGACCACCCGGAUAAUUGUGAAUUGUGUAAU